CGAGCACGCGCGUGUGGCAUAUCAAUAAGCGGAGGAAAAGAAACUAACAAGGAUUCCCCUAGUAACGGCGAGUGAAGCGGGAAGAGCUCAAAUUUGAAAUCUUCAAGGGUUUCUACCUUGACGAAUUGUAGUUUAUAGAAGUGUUUUUCUGUUAGAGGAGGUGGUAAAAGUUCUUUGGAAUAGGACAUCAUAGAGGGUGAGAAUCCCGUAUUUGGAUCACUUUCCUACUAGCGUUGUGAUACACUUUCAAAGAGUCGGAUUGUUUGGGAAUGCAGUCCAAAAUGGGUGGUAAAUUUCAUCUAAAGCUAAAUAUUGGCGAGAGACCGAUAGCGAACAAGUACCGUGAGGGAAAGAUGAAAAGAACUUUGAAAAGAGAGUUAAACAGUACGUGAAAUUGUCAAAAGGGAAGCGUUUGACACCAGUGUUGUUUUUCCGAAAAUCAAUUAAUGAAUGGCUUUUAUUUUUGAGGAGUUUCAUGACCUUAAUAGGCUUGUUUCUUAUUUUUCAUGUAACUUUCUUAAUGCACUUUUCGGUUAACAAGUCAACAUCAAUUUCUUUUGUUGUAAAAGGGUACGAGGAAGGUGGCUUUUACUUUUCGGAGUAAAGUGUUUAUAGCCCUGUUGACUCUGCAAUCGGAGAGAUUGAGGUCUGCAGCGUAGAUCCUUCGGGGUUAGAUACAUUUGUGCUAAGUUAUAGCUUUUCAUAGACAACUUGUUGACUAUGUUUAGUCUUGUAGAUUUACUCGCAUAUGCUAUUUUACCUACGCUUAGGAUGUUGAUGUGAUACUGCGAGCA
rnacentral:rRNA from 1 species